GUGCUUGCUUCGGCAGCACAUAUACUAAAAUUGGAAUGAUACAGGGAAGAUUAGCAUGGCCCUUGUGAAGAGUAACAUGCAAAUUCAUGAAGCAUUCCAUAUUUUA
ensembl:snRNA U6 U6 spliceosomal RNA